rnacentral:lncRNA from 12 species
AAAACACCCAGCUCUAAGAGGGGCUCAUCAGAGAAUCCCCUCCGGAGUGUAAGGUACUGGAGAGAAGCUCUAUGGGGAAUGGGUGGACUCCCGCCAAAACUCCAUUAGGAUGGGAGACUUUAAGUCACGGAAAUUAACUUGCUGAAAGUCUGCUUCCAAUUCUUCUUCCAGCUUCAUAGUUAAAUGUAAUUAAUGGCUGUGACCUGCUAAUGAAUGCUUUUGAUAAAAAACAUCUAUGAUGAGUUUUUUUUUUUAAUAAAUAGAAAUUUAAAAUGAAAACUAAAUGCUAGGACAGGAGAUUUAAUUAUGUAGGUAUUAUACAUGUCAACUUUUUAAAGCCUGAUUUUUAUUUAUGUGCUUCAGUCCUUAUACAAAGGGCUGCAGAACAGAGAUUUGUUCUUCACUCUUGCUUAAAGCAGAAUGAAAGCUCAUAAACUCCUCUCUCUGGGAAGCAUCUUCUUGUUCCUGCUUUUUUUCCAUCAGACCUGGGCUCAAUUCCCAAGAGAGUGUGCCACUGUUGAGGCCUUGAGAAAUGGUGUGUGUUGCCCAGACCUGUCCCCAGUGUCUGGGCCUGGGACUGACCCCUGUGGCUUCUCAUCAGGGCGGGGGAGGUGUGAGGCAGUGAUAGCAGACUCCAGACCCCACAGCCACCAUUACCCCCAUGAUGGCAGAGAUGAUCGGGAGGUUUGGCCCACACGGUUC